UGGGGAAUAUUGCACAAUGGGCGCAAGCCUGAUGCAGCCAUGCCGCGUGUGUGAAGAAGGCCUUCGGGUUGUAAAGCACUUUCAGCGGGGAGGAAGGCGUUAAGGUUAAUAACCUUGGCGAUUGACGUUACCCGCAGAAGAAGCACCGGCUAACUCCGUGCCAGCAGCCGCGGUAAUACGGAGGGUGCAAGCGUUAAUCGGAAUUACUGGGCGUAAAGCGCACGCAGGCGGUCUGUCAAGUCGGAUGUGAAAUCCCCGGGCUCAACCUGGGAACUGCAUCUGAUACUGACAAGCUUGAGUCUCGUAGAGGGGGGUAGAAUUCCAGGUGUAGCGGUGAAAUGCGUAGAGAUCUGGAGGAAUACCGGUGGCGAAGGCGGCCCCCUGGACGAAGACUGACGCUCAGGUGCGAAAGCGUGGGGAGCAAACAGG
rnacentral:rRNA from 1 species